rnacentral:tRNA from 1 species
GGAGGCGGAUGGGUGCUGGUGUGCCUGACGGGCUUCAAACCCGGUUGUCCUUCGAAAGGGGGACGGUAGGUUCGAUUCCUACACGCCUCCGCCA